GACGAACGCUGGCGGCGUGCUUAACACAUGCAAGUCGAGCGGAAAGGCCACUUCGGUGGUACUCGAGCGGCGAACGGGUGAGUAACACGUGAGUAAUCUGCCCCUGGCUUUGGGAUAGCCACCGGAAACGGUGAUUAAUACCGGAUACGACCACUUCUCGCAUGGGAUGGUGGUGGAAAGUUUUUUCGGCCAGGGAUGUGCUCGCGGCCUAUCAGCUUGAUGGUGAGGUAAUGGCUCACCAUGGCUUCGACGGGUAGCCGGCCUGAGAGGGUGACCGGUCACACUGGGACAGAGACACGGCCCAGACUCCGACGGGAGGCAGCAGUGAGGAAUAUUGGACAAUGGGCGGAAGCCUGAUCCAGCAACGCCGCGUGAGGGAUGACGGCCUUCGGGUUGUAAACCUCUUUCAGCAGGGACGAAGCGCAAGUGACGGUACCUGCAGAAGAAGCACCGGCCAACUACGUGCCAGCCGCCGCCGUAA
rnacentral:rRNA from 1 species